CCUACGGGGGGCUGCAGUGGGGAAUAUUGCACAAUGGGGGAAACCCUGAUGCAGCGACGCCGCGUGAGUGAAGAAGUAUUUCGGUACGUAAAGCUCUAUCAGCAGGGAAGAAAAUGACGGUACCUGACUAAGAAGCCCCGGCUAACUACGUGCCAGCAGCCGCGGUAAUACGUAGGGGGCAAGCGUUAUCCGGAUUUACUGGGUGUAAAGGGAGCGUAGACGGCAGCGCAGGUCUGGAGUGAAAUCCCAUGGCUUAACCAUGGGACUGCUUUGGAAACUGGGCAGCUAGAGUGCAGGAGAGGUAAGCGGAAUUCCUAGUGUAGCGGGGAAAUGCGUAGAUAUUAGGAGGAACACCAGUGGCGAAGGCGGCUUACUGGACUGUAACUGACGUUGAGGCUCGAAAGCGUGGGGAGCAAACAGGAUUAGAUACCCCAGUAGUC
rnacentral:rRNA from 1 species